AUUGAACGCUGGCGGCAGGCCUAACACAUGCAAGUCGAGCGGAUGAAGGGAGCUUGCUCCUGGAUUCAGCGGCGGACGGGUGAGUAAUGCCUAGGAAUCUGCCUGGUAGUGGGGGAUAACGUCCGGAAACGGGCGCUAAUACCGCAUACGUCCUGAGGGAGAAAGUGGGGGAUCUUCGGACCUCACGCUAUCAGAUGAGCCUAGGUCGGAUUAGCUAGUUGGUGGGGUAAAGGCCUACCAAGGCGACGAUCCGUAACUGGUCUGAGAGGAUGAUCAGUCACACUGGAACUGAGACACGGUCCAGACUCCUACGGGAGGCAGCAGUGGGGAAUAUUGGACUAUGGGCGAAAGCCUGAUCCAGCCAUGCCGCGUGUGUGAAGAAGGUCUUCGGAUUUUAAAGCACUUUAAGUUGGGAGGAAGGGCAGUAAGUUAAUACCUUGCUGUUUUGACGUUACCAACAGAAUAAGCACCGGCUAACUUCGUG
rnacentral:rRNA from 1 species